AUUCCAUUCCAGGGGAGUCAAAGGUGCAGAGAACACUGUCAGGGGCUGGCUUGAGCAUGCUGGGGCAGCCACGCCAGACCCCACACAGCGCAGGCGCCCCAGCACGGCGGCGGGAAGGAUGAGAACGUCGUUCUCGGCCUGGAUUCAGGGAUGGCUUAGCUCCAUGAUGCCUCCUAAGAUAUCAUCAUUUAGGAAUCCAGUUGUUUGGAAAAUACCACAAAUAUGAUUUGAUCAAGAAGAUGUCAUACUUCUUAAGGAAAAGAGACAAAAGGAUACCCAAAAAAGGAAAAAUGACCAAUGGUGAAUACCUAUUAAUUCUGGGGGUAAUCCAGAUGUUUAUCACAUUAUUCACUAUCCUCUUCUGAAAGUUUUUAAAGAAAAGGCAACAACACAGUGUGGAAGAGGCCUGACCUGUGAGCCCAAAGACCUGGCUUCUAGCAUCUUCCUCUCCUUACCACCUGUGGGGUUUCACCUGAAUCAGGUCCUUCGGGAGGCCUCCUCAUUCCCAUCUCUGCAGAGAGUCUUUCUUCUCUCUGUGCUCCAUGGAUGUCCCCCCAUGACAGUUCUUGACCAAACUGGCCAAAGUUUGGGAACAGAGAUCCUGAACAGCUAGAAAAUGGCCUCAUAUGGUACUUUUGAAACAAAGAAGUCAAUGUUGUACUCACAGUUUAUGUGAUGCUAGAACGCAGAAUAUCAAAUCACUAUUGGCUGUCCUGCUAUAUAUGAUAUAUCAUUUCUGUCUCUUCAUCUCUUUAGUAAUGUUUCCUACUACCAAUGUAAUCAAAUUCAAUAAACUUGGCAUUUUUAGAACAUC